rnacentral:rRNA from 1 species
GGGUGCCCCGCGAGGGGAGCCCUAGCACAGGUGCUGCAUGGCCGUCGUCAGCUCGUGCCGUGAGGUGUUGGGUUAAGUCCCGCAACGAGCGCAACCCCCGCCGUUAGUUGCCAGCGGUUCGGCCGGGCACUCUAACGGGACUGCCCGCGAAAGCGGGAGGAAGGAGGGGACGACGUCUGGUCAGCAUGGCCCUUACGGCCUGGGCGACACACGUGCUACAAUGCCCACUACAAAGCGAUGCCACCCGGCAACGGGGAGCUAAUCGACAAAAAGGUGGGCCCAGUUCGGAUUGGGGUCUGCAACCCGACCCCAUGAAGCCGGAACCGCUAGUAAUCGCGGAUCAGCCAUGCCGCGGUGAAUACGUUCCCGGGCCUU